rfam:Bacillus cereus subsp. cytotoxis NVH 391-98, complete genome.
AAGCCCUUUUAAAUGUAGUCCUGUGAGGCUGCCAAAGGGUCUUGGCUUUCAUAUGUCAAAUUUGCCAUAUGAAAGUAUAGGACUCUUUGUGCACGGACACAAAGAGUUUUUUUAU